AAUAAGCGGAGGAAAAGAAACCAACAGGGAUUGCCCCAGUAACGGCGAGUGAAGCGGCAACAGCUCAAAUUUGAAAUCUGGUCCCCAGGGCCCGAAUUGUAAUUUGUAGAGGAUGCUUUUGGCAAGGUGCCUUCCGAGUUCCCUGGAACGGGACGCCAUAGAGGGUGAGAGCCCCGUCUGGUCGGAUACCAAGCCUCUGUAAAGCUCCUUCGACGAGUCGAGUAGUUUGGGAAUGCUGCUCAAAAUGGGAGGUAUAUGUCUUCUAAAGCUAAAUAUUGGCCAGAGACCGAUAGCGCACAAGUAGAGUGAUCGAAAGAUGAAAAGCACUUUGAAAAGAGGGUUAAAAAGUACGUGAAAUUGUUGAAAGGGAAGCGCCUAUGACCAGACUUGGGCCCGGUGAAUCAUCCAGCGUUCUCGCUGGUGCACUUUGCCGGGCACAGGCCAGCAUCAGUUUGGCGCGGGGGAUAAAGACUUUGGGAAUGUGGCUCCCUCGGGAGUGUUAUAGCCCAUUGUGUAAUACCCUGCGCCGGACUGAGGUACGCGCAUUGCAAGGAUGCUGGCGUAAUGGUCAUCAGCGACCCGUCUUGA
rnacentral:rRNA from 1 species